UAAAACAGUUAUAAUUUGGGACGUGAAGGCAUGCCCGAUCCCUGAAGGUCUUGACAGUUAUGAUAUUUGGAACAACGUCCAAAAAUCCCUAUCGAAUAUUGGGUGACUCUAAAGAAGCUGAAGAUGAGAGACGUAAAAAGAUUUUAGUGGACCUGUUAUGCGAGGCAGGCGAAAAUCGCUCAAGAAUAAACUUGUUGCUGAUCAUUGGAGACGUGUCAGAACAGACCCAGUUCAUGAGGGCUCUUAAGUUUUUGAAAGAGGCGAAGCCCCACAAUGUUUUCCUGGCACUCCCUCGUCCUCCAUCAUCAGAGGAUUUGGUUGCAACUGUAAGUGAAGUUUGGCUUUGGGAAAC